GAAAUGCGAUAAGUAAUGCGAAUUGCAGAAUCCGUGAGUCAUCGAAUCUUUGAACGCACAUUGCGCCCUUUGGUAUUCCGAAGGGCAUGCCUGUUCGAGCGUCAUUAUCACCCCUCAAGCCCCGGCUUGGUGUUGGGCUUUCGGUGGUCGUCUCCGACCAUCGGCCUCAAAGAUAGUGACGGCGUCCCAGAGGGAACCGGUACGAGGAGCUUUCACGAGCAUGUACGCGGGACGACUCUGCGGGCGACGGUCUUUCUUAACUUUUAUAUAAGUGUUGACCUCGGAUCAGGUAGGAAUACCCGCUGAACUUAA
rnacentral:misc_RNA from 1 species